CGCUCUCCCCCCCCUGUCCAGCUACUACAGGACCAACGAGGUGGACCAGUUCCAGUAUUCCCGGCCGUUCAGGAAAGGGGAGAAAGACCCGGACAACGAGUUCGCGACCAUGUGGAUCGAGAGGACCACCUACGUCACGGCCUAUCGCUUCCCGGGGAUCCUCAAGUGGUUCGAGGUCAAGUCCGUGUCCGUG